rnacentral:rRNA from 1 species
ACUCCUACGGGAGGCAGCAGUAGGGAAUCUUCCACAAUGGACGAAAGUCUGAUGGAGCAAUGCCGCGUGAGUGAAGAAGGGUUUCGGCUCGUAAAACUCUGUUGUUAAAGAAGAACACCUUUGAGAGUAACUGUUCAAGGGUUGACGGUAUUUAACCAGAAAGCCACGGCUAACUACGUGCCAGCAGCCGCGGUAAUACGUAGGUGGCAAGCGUUGUCCGGAUUUAUUGGGCGUAAAGCGAGCGCAGGCGGUUUUUAAGUCUGAUGUGAAAGCCUUCGGCUUAACCGGAGAAGUGCAUCGGAAACUGGGAGACUUGAGUGCAGAAGAGGACAGUGGAACUCCAUGUGUAGCGGUGGAAUGCGUAGAUAUAUGGAAGAACACCAGUGGCGAAGGCGGCUGUCUAGUCUGUAACUGACGCUGAGGCUCGAAAGCAUGGGUAGCGAACAGGAUUAGAUACCCCUGGUAGGAUAGCG